UACGGAGGGGGCGAGCGUUAAUCGGAAUUACUGGGCGUAAAGCGUGCGCAGGCGGUUUUGUAAGCCAGAUGUGAAAUCCCCGGGCUUAACCUGGGAAUGGCAUUUGGGACUGCAAGGCUGGAGUGCGGCAGAGGAGACUGGAAUUCCUGGUGUAGCAGUGAAAUGCGUAGAUAUCAGGAGGAACACCGAUGGCGAAGGCAGGUCUCUGGGCUGACACUGACGCUCAUGCACGAAAGCGUGGGGAGCAAACAGG
rnacentral:rRNA from 1 species